rnacentral:lncRNA from 1 species
AAAAGACAAAAAAAUGCAAAAUUUGAAAAAAAAGAGUUAGGUUAUUUACUUUAUUUCUGAUCUUCCCGAACUACGCAAGAUCUGAUUCAUGUUCCCACAUGAUACGUAGGCAACCCACAUUAGGUUCGAUCAACCAUUGAAAAGAAAAAUGAGAAAAAAUGAAAAAAAAAUGAAAAAGAUAAGUGAAAAAGAAAAGAGGAAGAAUGAUAAUAAUAAUAAGGACCGACUAAGUCCAUUCUAACGUGUCUCUUAUUUUGAAUUGUGAAGAAAGUUUAAGGUGAUUGGUUUGUGGUAAACUGACAACACAAGAUCCAAGGGAAACAUAUCAUUGACAACUGACAUCGAAGCUGUUACAAAUGCUCAAGAGAUUCAGGGUCAAAGGGUUCAACAAGAGUCUACUUUGGUUGAGGAAAAUAGAGUACUGAAACACAAAAUUACUGAAAUGUGUCAAGCAUGGGCCAAUAGUCAAGGACCUCCCUUUUCUUCUCAUGGUUUUCCAGAGUUCACACCCAUCUCAACUACUGCCAUUCCGGUCUCAUUGUCUAAUCAAUCUUAUCCACCUAGGUUUAGUCCUUAUCCUAACUGUACGACUACUGCUGGAACUUCUGUUUCAUGCUCUCAAAGUUUUCCAUUGACAACCAAUCAAACAACCACUACUGUUAUGCUCGUUUUUACCAUCCCAUAACCGACGGUGGUGCAGAGGAAAACUCAUGAGUCACAAUUUUCUACCCAGCAAGAGCAGUACCACUCGUACUUGUUUGAUCUUCCGGCAAACAUUGAGAAGCCUGCCCGAAAGAUGGCACAGGAAGAAAUGACCUAAAGAGUGAAUAUCUUAGAACGACAAUUGAAAAACAUGCAAGGGUUGGCAAGUCAGAAGAGUACUGCCUUCAAUAAUCUAUGUAUGUUCCCCGAUGUCCACUUGCCACCUGGUUUCAAGACUCCCAAAUUUGAAAAGUAUGAUGGACAUGGAGACCCCAUAGCCUACCUAAAAAGGUAUUGCAAUCAACUAAGAGGUGCGGGAGGAAAGGAAGAAUUAUUGAUGGCUUAUUUUGGAGAAAGCCUUACGGGGGUAGCCUCCGAAUGGUUUAUAGAUCAAGACAUAUCUCGCUGGUAUGUAUGGGAUGACAUGGCUCAGUCCAUUGUCAAACAGUUCCAAUACAACAUCGACAUCACCCCAAACCACAAUUCCCUUUCAAACCUGAAGAAGAAACCAACUGAAAGUUUUAGGGAAUAUGUCAUUAAAUGGAGAGAGAAAGCAGCUAGAGUUAAGCCACCCAUGGACGACCACAAGCUAAUCACUGUCUUUCUUCAGGCUCAAGAGCCAGAUUAUUUUCAAAACAUGAUGUUCACAGUGGGUAAAUCCUUCUUGAAAGCGAUCAAAAUGGGGGAAAUGGUUGAUAAUGGUCUUAAGACAAGCAGAAUUAUAAGUCAAGCAGUUCUCAAAGCCGCAACUCAGGCUGUCCAAAUUGAAUCUGAUAAUUUUAGUGACACGAAUGAGAAGGAUGAAGAAAUCAUGAUGACAUCAGGGUCGAGAAGAAGUCCUAGGAGAGCAUCUCGAAGGUAUGACCAGCCUUGUCUGUUUUCCGAUGAUGUUCCUAAGCACUACUAUCCACCUCAGAACUCAUAAUACUCUAUUGCUCCACCUCAAUAUGUUGUCUAGCCACCAAAACACCCUAGAAGGCGAGCAUGAGCACCGCAAAAUCUCCACCAGCCUCUACAAAAUUUUCAAGUGCCCUAUAAUCUACAUCCAAGCCAGGGGUAUAGAAGGGAACAAAGGUUAAAAGAUAAUUUUACACCAAUAGGAGAGUCUUAUGCAAGCUUAUUCGAGAAGUUAAAGCAUUAUGACAUGAUUGCACCCAUUCCUCCAAAUCAUAUGGACCCACGUGCAAGAAGCUUCGACCCUUCUAAAAGGUGUGUGAAUAUCAUUCCAAUGCCCAGGGGCACAAUGUUGAAAGUUGUCGGGAUUUGAAAAGAGAAAUAGAAAGGAUGAUGCAGGAAAAGCUAAUUGUGAUCCAAUAUAAUGACACCUAGAAUAUCACGCAGAAUCAUUUACCUGCACAUAUUGAUGCACACUUUGUGGGGAUGAUGCCUGGUGACAUGGAGUACGAGAAUCCUCUCGGGAACUUGCCGACUGAAAUUGGAGAAGGCCAUGGUGAUUCUGAUGAGCAAGUUUGUGGCUAAAUGUCAAGCUUAGCAAUUGAAAAGUCAUUCUCUCCUCACUCGGAAGGAAUCUUGGUAGCUUGUUUAAAUGUUUUUUUUGUUAUUUGGGUUAUUUCAGGGUUGUGAUCCAGAUUUUAUUUGUUUUAUUGAGUCAAACCCUUCUAUCCUUCUAUUCUAUUUGUAUGAGUCAUGUCUGUCUGUUUUGUUGCUGCUUUUAUUAUCUGGGUUAUUUUAGGGUUGUAACUCAGAUCUUAGGAUGUUUGUCUUGUUGUCAAACCCUUUCAUCUUUUAUUCAAUAAAAUACAGUUUGUCCUUUUGUGUAAUUCCAUGCUUAGUUCUUUCGCCGCUAGUUCUAGUGACAUGACAUGCAUGCGGAAUUUUUGGUCAGAUCUUAGAAAACUGAUAUAAUCUUGAAUUGGAUAGCCGAGAAAAAGACAUUUUUAAAAAAGAAUCAAUUGAAAUUUGUUGGAAGUUUGACAUUAAGGGAUGGAAAGUGUCUUGUGACCACGACACACAAGAAGAUAGACAUGUUCGUCAAUGUUGUGAUCGCAAAAGGAUAAUAUGUUUGGCGUUCUCGAGGCUGAGAGGCCCUUUUUCUGCUAUCCAAACACUUUAUACCCUUUGUUACCCCUUUUGAGCAUGUGUUAUUUUCUUUGACCACCCUCUUCUGAAAUCAAGUUUAGAGUCAAGAGUCAAAAAAAUGAAAAAAAAAGAAAAAAGAAAAAGAAAAGAAAAGUUUGUGUCCCAAGAGUACAAACUGGGGCAACUCUUAGAAAGUUCAAAUAAUUAAAAAAAAUAGAAGAAGAAAGAAUAGUCAAAGGUCCAUGCCCCCAGAAAAUAGAAGCUGGGGCAAUUUGUUUUGAAAAAAAAAAGAAAAAAAAGAAAGAAAAAAGAAAACAGAAAGAAAGAUGGAAAAACAGUUAGGACAGAUGUUUGAACUACGUUAGACCUGAUUCCUUUUUUAAAAAAAAAAAGGAUACGUAGGUAGCCUCACAGUUCGGUCCAACCAAAUAAGAAUUCAAAAAAAAGAGGAAAAAAAAAGAAAAGAAAAAAAAAAGAAAAAUCCCAAAAAUCCCCAAUAGCUGAAACUGGGGCAGAGAUUGUAUUUCACCUUUGAAAGAGUCGAUUCCAAGAGUUGUAAGUCCACAACCCCCUUUACUUUGAGUCUAUUUUGAGCCUUUAUGACGUCCUUUUUUUCUAGCCCUAUCCAAAAUCCUUCCUAAUAAAGACCUCCCGAUAUGCCUUCAAGAAUGCCCAGAGAAACAUGCAAUGAGCAACGGUUGUCACACGACAUAGAACACUGUCAAGUUGCUCAAGAAAGCAACAGAAAAAAAAGAGAGAAAAUGAAAAAAUGUGAGAGUCUUACUAGUGAAAACCUUCACGGGCACUGUAAGGCGACGGUAAGUAGAGAUGAACAAAUGAGAGAGACUUAUUAGUAAAAACCCCUCGGGGCACCACUAGUCGAAAGUGAGUCGUGAAGAUGAUGCAAAGGAUUGGCACGAAUAAGCCCGACUUCAAAGGUCAUAAGAAUGGCAAAAAGGAAGAUUGGAUUAGCUUGAUAGAUCAGGCCGUUGAGUCCAAAAUGCAUGUCAUGACCAUUAAGGCUAGUUAUUGAAAAAAAAGAAAAAAAGAGAAAAAAAACGAAAAAAAAACUCUUACUUCUGUCCUUCCGACAGGGGCAUUUCUUGUUAAUACUUAUUUUUUUGUAUCAUUGUGUCCUUCACUCUGAAUCAGUCCUUGUCAAAACAAGCAAGAAAUGAUUUCAAAAUCUACUACCAGCUUUUCAGUUGUGUAAAGUAAAUUUGGCCAGCACACUCAGUUGUUAAUGUCAAUAUACCUAGAGGAUUCAUGCAAAAGCUUCCCCAAAAGACUCUUGUCAGCCUACUUGAUGCAAGCAAAGACAAUUUGUGAUUCUCUCUGACAGACAAAUUGCUCAAAAGCAGGAAGUCAGUCAAGAUAUCUGAAAAGGUCACCUAAGCAAAGAUCUCCAGUUGGGAUAAAGUUGUUUGAGCUACAAAUACAAAUGGUACUGGGUGUAAAACAAUCAGAGUUGGUACAGAACGAAAGUCUUUUGAGACCAACUCAAGCUGAUUGAGCAGAAGCCAAGUUGCUCAAGACCCAAGGCACAAAUCGACCACCAUUUUCAAAACUGACAAAUUUUUUCUUUGUGUGAAACAGGAACAAAUCAGUGCAAGGAAAGUGGUUCAAAAAAAAAGAAAAAAAGAGAAAAAAAACAAAAAAAAAAGAGAAGGAAAAGAAAAGAAGAGAAGAGCCGACAAAGGGAAGUUUCUCAAAUCUUUGGCUUUAUUUGCCUUGCUAUUGUGCAUAAAAUCUUGUCAUUGAUCUUCAUAUUUUUUCCUCCUAGGAUAAAAGUCCUAGUCUGAUGGAUUUUCUCCCAAUAAAAUUUUAGUCUAAUGAAUCUUUCUCCUUAGAUAGAAAACUUAGUCUGAUGAAUUUUCUCCUAGGAUAGAAAAUCUUAGUCUGAUGAAUCUUUCUCCUAAGAUAACAAAAGGGACCUAGUCUGAUGAACUUUCUCCUCGGAUCAAAAUCUUAGUGUGAUGAAUCUUUCUACUAAGAUAGAAGACCUAGUCUGAUGAACUUUCUCCUAUGAUAGAAAUCUUAGUUUGAUGAAUCUUUCUCCUAAGAUACCAAAAAAAAAGACCUAGUCUGAUGAACUUUCUUCUAGGAUCAAAAUCUUAGUCUGAUGAAUUUUUCUCCUAAGAUAGAAGACCUAGUCUGAUGAACUUUCUCCUAGGAUAUAAAUCUUAGUCCGAUGAAUCUUUCUCCUAAGAUAACAAAAAAGGGAACCUAGUCUGAUGAACUUUCUCCUAGGAUCGCAAUCUUAGUCUGAUGAAUUUUUCUCCUAAGAUAGAAGACCUAGUCUGAUGAACUUUCUCCUAGGAUCAAAAUCUUAGUCUGAUGAAUCUUUCUCCUAAGAUACCAAAAAAGAAGUAGAAAAGAGGCCUAGUCUGAUGAAUUUUCUCCUAGGAUCAAAAUCUUAGUUUGAUGAAUCUUUCCCCUAAGAUAGAAAACCUAGUCUGAUGAAUUUUCUCCUGGGAUAAUAAUUUUAAAAAAAAGGGAAGUCUGAAUUUGAAAAAAAAAGAGGGGUCAAUUUUUAGUUUUUUUUUAAGUUAUCAAUGUCUAGUUUUCUUGAAACCAGGGAUCCCGCCCGGAAAAUAGGGUCAGUCUUUACUUUAGUCAAG